AAGACCUUGCGCUUUUGGAGCGGCCGAUGCCUGAUUAGCUUGUUGGUAAGGUAAAAGCUUACCAAGGCUUCGAUCAGUAGCUGGUCUGAGAGGACGACCAGCCACACUGGGACUGAGACACGGCCCAGACUCCUACGGGAGGCAGCAGUGGGGAAUUUUGGACAAUGGGGGCAACCCUGAUCCAGCCAUGCCGCGUGAGUGAAGAAGGCCUUCGGGUUGUAAAGCUCUUUCAGCCGGAACGAAACGGUUACGGAUAACACCCGUGAUUACUGACGGUACCGGAAGAAGAAGCACCGGCUAACUACGUGCCAGCAGCCGCGGUAAUACGUAGGGUGCGAGCGUUAAUCGGAAUUACUGGGCGUAAAGCGUGCGCAGGUGGUUUUGUAAGUCAGAUGUGAAAGCCCCGGGCUCAACCUGGGAACU
rnacentral:rRNA from 1 species